UACGUAGGGGGCUAGCGUUGUCCGGAAUCAUUGGGCGUAAAGCGCGUGUAGGCGGUCCGGUAAGUCCGCUGUGAAAGUCGAGGGCUCAACCCUCGAAUGCCGGUGGAUACUGUCGGGCUUGAGUACGGGAGAGACGAGUGGAAUUCCUGGUGUAGCGGUGAAAUGCGCAGAUAUCAGGAGGAACACCGAUUGCGAAGGCAGCUCGCUGGAACGUUACUGACGCUGAGACGCGAAAGCGUGGGGAGCAAACAGG
rnacentral:rRNA from 1 species